ensembl:lncRNA
AUCUCAUGCUGCUGCUACUGCUGCUGAGUCACUCCAGUCGUGUCCGACUCUGUGAGGCCCCAUAGACGGCAGCCCACCAGGCUCCACAGUCCCUGGGAUUCUCCAGACUGUAGCUCACCAGCCACUAUCCAUGGGAUUUCCCAAGCAAGAAUACCGGAGUGAGUUGCCAUUUCCUCCUUCAGGGAAUCUUCCCAAACCAGGGAUGAAACCCACAACUCGGGCUUGGCAGACAGAUUCUUUACCGCUGAGCCACUGGGAAGCCCAUGAAUGCAAACAUGAGACUUCUGGAUCAAGGCAAGAAAUGGGCAUUGAUGUAUUUCUAGGAAAGGCCUUCGUCACUCCUUGCGAGCGCACUUGUGUCUGUGUGUGUGUGACUUCAGUUCUGUGCCACCACUCUGUCCCUCCACAAGGGUCCUCCUGCUGCCCAGGGUCCCUGUUGCACCUCCUCCCUCCCCGACUUCAAACUCCUUGCAGCCACUCACCUGUCUUAAUCACUGGACCACUGGGGAAGUCCCAAGUCUAAGGACUCUGCACCUAAACUCAGCUUCUGAGAGAUUUUAGACUCUUCCUAAAAGUGCGAUAGUUUAUGUUUUACAUUUCAUCUGUGAUUUGUUUGGAUUUAAUUUUUGCAUUCAGCUCCACACUUAAGUCGAGUUCCCGUUUCAGCACCCGAGUUCAUCCCCGUUUCUCCCCCAUCUCUUGUUGACAAGGCCGUCUUCCCUCUGUCGACCUCUGACCGUUGUCAGCCGUCAGCUGGGUGGCUUUGUCCAUGCGGGUCCUUUGAUCUGCGGGUCUGCACCUCCUCCAGCACCACGUGGUCUUCCUCACUGCAGCUUUACAAGCAAGCCUUUGCAAGCUUGUGGAGCGUGUCUUCUGGAUUUUGAACCCUGUGACUCUGUUACCCAUUCCAAUGUGAGAACAUUAAUGC